rnacentral:rRNA from 1 species
UACGUAGGUGGCAAGCGUUGUCCGGAAUUAUUGGGCGUAAAGCGCGCGCAGGCGGCCUCCUAAGUCCGAUGUGAAAGCCCACGGCUCAACCGUGGAGGGUCAUUGGAAACUGGGGGACUUGAGUGCAGGAGAGAAGAGUGGAAUUCCACGUGUAGCGGUGAAAUGCGUAGAGAUGCGGAGGAACACCAGUGGCGAAGGCGACUCUUUGGCCUGUAACUGACGCUGAGGCGCGAAAGCGUGGGGAGCAAACAGG